rnacentral:rRNA from 1 species
AAGCAUAUCAAUAAGCGGAGGAAAAGAAACCAACAGGGAUUGCCCUAGUAACGGCGAGUGAAGCGGCAACAGCUCAAAUUUGAAAUCUGGCUCUUUUAGAGUCCGAGUUGUAAUUUGCAGAGGGCGCUUUGGCGUUGGCAGCGGUCCAAGUUCCUUGGAACAGGACGUCACAGAGGGUGAGAAUCCCGUACGUGGUCGCUAACCUUCGCCGUGUAAAGCCCCUUCGACGAGUCGAGUUGUUUGGGAAUGCAGCUCUAAAUGGGAGGUAAAUUUCUUCUAAAGCUAAAUACUGGCCAGAGACCGAUAGCGCACAAGUAGAGUGAUCGAAAGAUGAAAAGCACUUUGGAAAGAGAGUCAAAUAGCACGUGAAAUUGUUGAAAGGGAAGCGCUUGCAGCCAGACUUGCCUGUAGUUGCUCAUCCGGGCUUUUGCCCGGUGCACUCUUCUGCGGGCAGGCCAGCAUCAGUUUGGGCGGUUGGAUAAAGGUCUCUGUCAUGUACCUCUCUUCGGGGAGGCCUUAUAGGGGAGACGUCAUGCAACCAGCCUGGACUGAGGUCCGCGCAUCUGCUAGGAUGCUGGCGUAAUGGCUGUAAGCGGCCCGUCUUGAAACACGGACCAAGGAGUCUAACAUCUAUGCGAGUGUUUGGGUGUCAAGCCCGAGCGCGUAAUGAAAGUGAACGGAGGUGGGAACCCUUUAGGGUGCACCAUCGACCGAUCCUGAUGUCUUCGGAUGGAUUUGAGUAAGAGCAUGGCUGUUGGGACCCGAAAGAUGGUGAACUAUGCUUGAAUAGGGUGAAGCCAGAGGAAACUCUGGUGGAGGCUCGCAGCGGUUCUGACGUGCAAAUCGAUCGUCAAAUUUGGGGCAUAGGGGCGAAAGACUAAUCGAACUAUCUAGUAGCUGGUUCCUGCCGAAG